rnacentral:rRNA from 1 species
GGGUUGUGAGGUUAAGCGACUAAGCGUACACGGUGGAUGCCCUGGCAGUCAGAGGCGAUGAAGGACGUGCUAAUCUGCGAUAAGCGUCGGUAAGGUGAUAUGAACCGUUAUAACCGGCGAUUUCCGAAUGGGGAAACCCAGUGUGUUUCGACACACUAUCAUUAACUGAAUCCAUAGGUUAAUGAGGCGAACCGGGGGAACUGAAACAUCUAAGUACCCCGAGGAAAAGAAAUCAACCGAGAUUCCCCCAGUAGCGGCGAGCGAACGGGGAGCAGCCCAGAGCCUGAAUCAGUGUGUGUGUUAGUGGAAGCGUCUGGAAAGGCGCGCGAUACAGGGUGACAGCCCCGUACACAAAAAUGCACAUGCUGUGAGCUCGAUGAGUAGGGCGGGACACGUGGUAUCCUGUCUGAAUAUGGGGGGACCAUCCUCCAAGGCUAAAUACUCCUGACUGACCGAUAGUGAACCAGUACCGUGAGGGAAAGGCGAAAAGAACCCCGGCGAGGGGAGUGAAAAAGAACCUGAAACCGUGUACGUACAAGCAGUGGGAGCACGCUUAGGCGUGUGACUGCGUACCUUUUGUAUAAUGGGUCAGCGACUUAUAUUCUGUAGCAAGGUUAACCGAAUAGGGGAGCCGAAGGGAAACCGAGUCUUAACUGGGCGUUAAGUUGCAGGGUAUAGACCCGAAACCCGGUGAUCUAGCCAUGGGCAGGUUGAAGGUUGGGUAACACUAACUGGAGGACCGAACCGACUAAUGUUGAAAAAUUAGCGGAUGACUUGUGGCUGGGGGUGAAAGGCCAAUCAAACCGGGAGAUAGCUGGUUCUCCCCGAAAGCUAUUUAGGUAGCGCCUCGUGAAUUCAUCUCCGGGGGUAGAGCACUGUUUCGGCAAGGGGGUCAUCCCGACUUACCAACCCGAUGCAAACUGCGAAUACCGGAGAAUGUUAUCACGGGAGACACACGGCGGGUGCUAACGUCCGUCGUGAAGAGGGAAACAACCCAGACCGCCAGCUAAGGUCCCAAAGUCAUGGUUAAGUGGGAAACGAUGUGGGAAGGCCCAGACAGCCAGGAUGUUGGCUUAGAAGCAGCCAUCAUUUAAAGAAAGCGUAAUAGCUCACUGGUCGAGUCGGCCUGCGCGGAAGAUGUAACGGGGCUAAACCAUGCACCGAAGCUGCGGCAGCGACGCUGAUGCGUUGUUGGGUAGGGGAGCGUUCUGUAAGCCUGCGAAGGUGUGCUGUGAGGCAUGCUGGAGGUAUCAGAAGUGCGAAUGCUGACAUAAGUAACGAUAAAGCGGGUGAAAAGCCCGCUCGCCGGAAGACCAAGGGUUCCUGUCCAACGUUAAUCGGGGCAGGGUGAGUCGACCCCUAAGGCGAGGCCGAAAGGCGUAGUCGAUGGGAAACAGGUUAAUAUUCCUGUACUUGGUGUUACUGCGAAGGGGGGACGGAGAAGGCUAUGUUGGCCGGGCGACGGUUGUCCCGGUUUAAGCGUGUAGGCUGGUUUUCCAGGCAAAUCCGGAAAAUCAAGGCUGAGGCGUGAUGACGAGGCACUACGGUGCUGAAGCAACAAAUGCCCUGCUUCCAGGAAAAGCCUCUAAGCAUCAGGUAACAUCAAAUCGUACCCCAAACCGACACAGGUGGUCAGGUAGAGAAUACCAAGGCGCUUGAGAGAACUCGGGUGAAGGAACUAGGCAAAAUGGUGCCGUAACUUCGGGAGAAGGCACGCUGAUAUGUAGGUGAAGUCCCUCGCGGAUGGAGCUGAAAUCAGUCGAAGAUACCAGCUGGCUGCAACUGUUUAUUAAAAACACAGCACUGUGCAAACACGAAAGUGGACGUAUACGGUGUGACGCCUGCCCGGUGCCGGAAGGUUAAUUGAUGGGGUUAGCCGCAAGGCGAAGCUCUUGAUCGAAGCCCCGGUAAACGGCGGCCGUAACUAUAACGGUCCUAAGGUAGCGAAAUUCCUUGUCGGGUAAGUUCCGACCUGCACGAAUGGCGUAAUGAUGGCCAGGCUGUCUCCACCCGAGACUCAGUGAAAUUGAACUCGCUGUGAAGAUGCAGUGUACCCGCGGCAAGACGGAAAGACCCCGUGAACCUUUACUAUAGCUUGACACUGAACAUUGAGCCUUGAUGUGUAGGAUAGGUGGGAGGCUUUGAAGUGUGGACGCCAGUCUGCAUGGAGCCGACCUUGAAAUACCACCCUUUAAUGUUUGAUGUUCUAACGUUGACCCGUAAUCCGGGUUGCGGACAGUGUCUGGUGGGUAGUUUGACUGGGGCGGUCUCCUCCUAAAGAGUAACGGAGGAGCACGAAGGUUGGCUAAUCCUGGUCGGACAUCAGGAGGUUAGUGCAAUGGCAUAAGCCAGCUUGACUGCGAGCGUGACGGCGCGAGCAGGUGCGAAAGCAGGUCAUAGUGAUCCGGUGGUUCUGAAUGGAAGGGCCAUCGCUCAACGGAUAAAAGGUACUCCGGGGAUAACAGGCUGAUACCGCCCAAGAGUUCAUAUCGACGGCGGUGUUUGGCACCUCGAUGUCGGCUCAUCACAUCCUGGGGCUGAAGUAGGUCCCAAGGGUAUGGCUGUUCGCCAUUUAAAGUGGUACGCGAGCUGGGUUUAGAACGUCGUGAGACAGUUCGGUCCCUAUCUGCCGUGGGCGCUGGAGAACUGAGGGGGGCUGCUCCUAGUACGAGAGGACCGGAGUGGACGCAUCACUGGUGUUCGGGUUGUCAUGCCAAUGGCACUGCCCGGUAGCUAAAUGCGGAAGAGAUAAGUGCUGAAAGCAUCUAAGCACGAAACUUGCCCCGAGAUGAGUUCUCCCUGACUCCUUGAGAGUCCUGAAGGAACGUUGAAGACGACGACGUUGAUAGGCCGGGUGUGUAAGCGCAGCGAUGCGUUGAGCUAACCGGUACUAAUGAACCGUGAGGCUUAACC